rnacentral:rRNA from 1 species
AACGAACGCUGGCGGCAGGCCUAACACAUGCAAGUCGAGCGGGAACGUCGGGCUGAGCGGCGGUCCGGUGAGGAACGCCUGGGAACGUACCCUUGUCUACGGAACAGCCUCGGGAAAGUGAGAGUAAUAAAGCAUAGGCCAAUAGGGGGAAAGAUGUACCGGAAAAGGAUCGGGGCGGGUUGGAUUAGGCAGUUGGUGGGGUAAUGGCCUAUCAAGCGGACGAUGCAUAGCUGGUGGGAGAGGAUGAUCAGCCACACUGGGGCUGAGACACGGGCCAGACUCCUACGGAAGGCAGGAGUGGGGAAUCUUAUACGAUGGGGGCAAACCUGAGCUAGCCGUGCCGCGUAAGUGAUGAAGGCGUUAGGGAAGUGAAGCUCUUUGAGAUGGGAAGUUAGUGACGGUACCAGCAGAAGAAGCACCGGCUAACUCCGUG